UUUAUCUCCAUGAACAGGGCAUACAGCUUUUCCAUAAUCCAUUUUCUAUUGACAUUGAAAAUGUGGAUACAAUUUACCAAAUGGAACUUUCUGAACUUCAGAAUUGUGACUCUCUGGGGGGCACCUGGGUAGUUCAGUGGAUUGAGAACCAGGCCUAGAGACGGGAGGUCCUAGGUUCAAAUUUGGCCUCAGACACUUCCCAGCUGUGUGACCCUGGGCAAGUCACUUGACCCCCAUUGCCUAGCCCUUACCACUCUUCUGCUUUGGAGCCAAUACACAGUAUUGAUUCCAAGACGGAAGGUAAAGGUUUAAAAAAAAAAAGAAUUGUGACUCUGAAAGACGCAUUCAAGUCAAGCAGCUUGCCUAAUUUCUAUGCAUCUCUCCCCUUUGAGACAUAUCCUAAUCUCAGGAAGUAUGCACACAAAAUGGCAAACAUCUUUGGCAGCACUUAUGUCUGUGAACAGACUUUUUCCAGAAUGAAACAUCUGAAAUCUCCAACCAAAUCUAGACUAACUGAUACACUCUCACAUCACUUGUUACAGCUAGCAAUGACAAAUAUGGAACCGGACAUUGACCAUCUCAUUAGCCAAAAACAGGCCCAUCGUUCUACUGAAAUACUGACUUCCAUUUUUGAAAAUCCAUCCCAGAAGCAGUACUUGGAUUUGGGGAGCAGAAGACCUUCCCUUCAGAGAAAGAACACUCAGAACCCCUUUGAAGAUUCCACUUUUAUUAUUUCUCAAACUGUGCUGGAUGAAAGCCGACUAUACGCUAGUUGAGGUAAGCUGUCACAGCAGCCUUUUUAGAUUAACUUAGAGAAAUAUUGUCACAAACUGGCCCAAAUACAGGAUGUGCAUUGAACAAAAUCAGUUUUUUUUUUGCAACACAGAUUGCCUGCCAACUGUGUGUACCAAAAUUGGAAGAACCAUUCUUCGAAAAAUGAUAGGUUUCUGAGGGAGAGAGCAAAAAAGUAUUUCAGGAUGACUUUCUUCUCUACCUUCAUAAGCUGUUUUGGAUCUUUUGAACCCUUUGACCUAAGAAUAAUAGUUCUCAGGCUCAGAAAGUUGGGGUUAGCAUGAAGUGAUCAAAAAUGACAUUGCUUUUUAAGCUGUAAGUCUGGAAUAUGAGGAUGUAGAAUUUUAACCACUUGCCUUCACAGUAUGGCAGCAUGGAGACAAUAUGGUAAAAUGGAGAG
rnacentral:lncRNA from 1 species